UACGGAGGGGACUAGCGUUGUUCGGAAUUACUGGGCGUAAAGGGCUCGUAGGCGGCCAACUAAGUCGGACGUGAAAUCCCCAGGCUCAACCUGGGAACUGCGUCCGAUACUGGAUGGCUUGAAUCCGGGAGAGGGAUGCAGAAUUCCAGGUGUAGCGGUGAAAUGCGUAGAUAUCUGGAGGAAUACCGGUGGCGAAGGCGGCAUCCUGGACCGGCAUUGACGCUGAGGAGCGAAAGCCAGGGGAGCAAACGGG
rnacentral:rRNA from 1 species